GACGAACGCCUGGCGGCGUGCUAAUACAUGCAAGUCGAGCGGACCGACGGGAGCUUGCUCCCUUAGGUCAGCGGCGGACGGGUGAGUAACACGUGGGUAACCUGCCUGUAAGACUGGGAUAACUCCGGGAAACCGGGGCUAAUACCGGAUGCUUGAUUGAACCGCAUGGUUCAAUCAUAAAAGGUGGCUUUUAGCUACCACUUGCAGAUGGACCCGCGGCGCAUUAGCUAGUUGGUGAGGUAACGGCUCACCAAGGCGACGAUGCGUAGCCGACCUGAGAGGGUGAUCGGCCACACUGGGACUGAGACACGGCCCAGACUCCUACGGGAGGCAGCAGUAGGGAAUCUUCCGCAAUGGACGAAAGUCUGACGGAGCAACGCCGCGUGAGUGAUGAAGGUUUUCGGAUCGUAAAACUCUGUUGUUAGGGAAGAACAAGUACCGUUCGAAUAGGGCGGUACCUUGACGGUACCUAACCAGAAAGCCACGGCUAACUACGUGCCAGCAGCCGCGGUAAUACGUAGGUGGCAAGCGUUGUCCGGAAUUAUUGGGCGUAAAGCGCGCGCAGGCGGUUUCUUAAGUCUGAUGUGAAAGCCCCCGGCUCAACCGGGGAGGGUCAUUGGAAACUGGGGAACUUGAGUGCAGAAGAGGAGAGUGGAUUCCACGUGUAGCGGUGAAAUGCGUAGAGAUGUGGAGGAACACCAGUGGCGAAGGCGACUCUCUGGUCUGU
rnacentral:rRNA from 1 species